UACGGAGGGGGCGAGCGUUAUUCGGAUUUACUGGGCGUAAAGGGAUCGUAGGCGGAUGUAUAAGUUAGAUGUGAAAGCCCUGGGCUCAACCUAGGAAUUGCAUUUAAAACUGUAUGUCUAGAGUGUUGGAGAGGAUGACGGAAUUCCAAGUGUAGAGGUGAAAUUCGUAGAUAUUUGGGGGAACAUCAGUGGCGAAGGCGGCCACCUGGACUGAUACUGACACUGAGGUGCGAAAGCGUGGGGAGCAAACAGG
rnacentral:rRNA from 1 species